rnacentral:rRNA from 1 species
CCUUAACAUGCAGUCGAACGGCAGCGGGGGUAGCUUGCUACCUGCCGGCGAGUGGCGAACGGGUGAGUAAUACAUCGGAACGUGCCCUGUAGUGGGGGAUAACUAGUCGAAAGACUAGCUAAUACCGCAUACGACCUGAGGGUGAAAGUGGGGGACCGCAAGGCCUCAUGCUAUAGGAGCGGCCGAUGUCUGAUUAGCUAGUUGGUGGGGUAAAGGCCCACCAAGGCGACGAUCAGUAGCUGGUCUGAGAGGACGAUCAGCCACACUGGGACUGAGACACGGCCCAGACUCCUACGGGAGGCAGCAGUGGGGAAUUUUGGACAAUGGGGGCAACCCUGAUCCAGCAAUGCCGCGUGUGUGAAGAAGGCCUUCGGGUUGUAAAGCACUUUUGUCCGGAAAGAAAUCGCACUGGUUAAUACCUGGUGUGGAUGACGGUACCGGAAGAAUAAGGACCGGCUAACUACGUGCCAGCAGCCGCGGUAAUACGUAGGGUCCAAGCGUUAAUCGGAAUUACUGGGCGUAAAGCGUGCGCAGGCGGUUGUGCAAGACCGAUGUGAAAUCCCCGGGCUUAACCUGGGAAUUGCAUUGGUGACUGCACGGCUAGAGUGUGUCAGAGGGAGGUAGAAUUCCACGUGUAGCAGUGAAAUGCGUAGAGAUGUGGAGGAAUACCGAUGGCGAAGGCAGCCUCCUGGGAUAACACUGACGCUCAUGCACGAAAGCGUGGGGAGCAAACAGGAUUAGAUACCCUGGUAGUCCACGCCCUAAACGAUGUCAACUAGUUGUUGGGGAUUCAUUUCCUUAGUAACGUAGCUAACGCGUGAAGUUGACCGCCUGGGGAGUACGGUCGCAAGAUUAAAACUCAAAGGAAUUGACGGGGACCCGCACAAGCGGUGGAUGAUGUGGAUUAAUUCGAUGCAACGCGAAAAACCUUACCUACCCUUGACAUGCCACUAACGAAGCAGAGAUGCAUUAGGUGCUCGAAAGAGAAAGUGGACACAGGUGCUGCAUGGCUGUCGUCAGCUCGUGUCGUGAGAUG